AUAGUUUGCAAAGUCCCUUCAGA
rnacentral:piRNA from 1 species